GUUCCCUUCUGCUGCCCUUCUGGGUGGAAGUGAUCAUAGGUUUGGAAAAUGCAGUCUUAUGAUCUUUGGAAGAGUCAUCAGGAAUACAUGGAGACGUGCUUCAUCAUGUUGUAUGUGUGAAGGAAACUAACAACCUACAAGGAGGGUCUAGAAGGAGAGCUAUCAGCAUUUUCUGAGGAGGCAUUGCCAGUACUGCCUGACGUUUCAUGCUGGAUUCUCCCACUGUUCUUUGGCUGGCUUCCCCCUUUGAACAUUCUGUAAACUUGUCUUCCAAAUAAAACUCCAUCAAUGGAGUUGGGAUGGAAAUGGUCGAAAGCAUCAAUUUCCUCGGAGCGAUGAUCACCAACAGUCUGUCCUGGUCCACCCACAUUGAUGCAGUGGUUGAGAAAGCACAACAACACCUCUACUUCCUCAGGAGGCUAAGGAAAUUCAGCACUUAUGUAAAUACCAAUUUUUGUAGAUACACCAUAGAAGGCAUUCUAUCUGGAUGUACCACUGCUUGGUAAUUGCUUUGCCCAGGAUCGUAAAAAAAAAACUACAGAAAUUUGUGAGCGCAGCCCAGUCCAUCACACAAACCAGCCUUCCACCAUUGACUCCAUCUACACUUCUUGCUGCUUGGCUUGCUGUGUUCUUACAGCCUCUUGCUUGUCUGCCUCAGGAAGGCAUCCAACAUCACCAAAAUUCCCUUCUGCCUCGGUUACAAUCUCUUCCAACCUCUUCCGUCAGGUAGAAGAUACAAAUCACACGUAGCAACAGAUCCAAGAAUAGCUUCUUUCCCCGCUGUUACCAGCUUUCUAAAUGGUCCUCUCAAGUUUUAAAUGCAAUGCUGAACUCACUUUCGGUGCACCCCUGCAGCACUAACAUUGUAUUCCUUGCUCUGUUCUA